rnacentral:rRNA from 1 species
ACAUGCAAGUCGAACGGCAGCACAGUAAGAGCUUGCUCUUAUGGGUGGCGAGUGGCGGACGGGUGAGGAAUACAUCGGAAUCUACCUUUUCGUGGGGGAUAACGUAGGGAAACUUACGCUAAUACCGCAUACGACCUUCGGGUGAAAGCAGGGGACCUUCGGGCCUUGCGCGGAUAGAUGAGCCGAUGUCGGAUUAGCUAGUUGGCGGGGUAAAGGCCCACCAAGGCGACGAUCCGUAGCUGGUCUGAGAGGAUGAUCAGCCACACUGGAACUGAGACACGGUCCAGACUCCUACGGGAGGCAGCAGUGGGGAAUAUUGGACAAUGGGCGCAAGCCUGAUCCAGCCAUACCGCGUGGGUGAAGAAGGCCUUCGGGUUGUAAAGCCCUUUUGUUGGGAAAGAAAAGCAGUCGGCUAAUACCCGGUUGUUCUGACGGUACCCAAAGAAUAAGCACCGGCUAACUUCGUGCCAGCAGCCGCGGUAAUACGAAGGGUGCAAGCGUUACUCGGAAUUACUGGGCGUAAAGCGUGCGUAGGUGGUUGUUUAAGUCUGUUGUGAAAGCCCUGGGCUCAACCUGGGAAUUGCAGUGGAUACUGGGCG